UACGUAGGGUGCAAGCGUUAAUCGGAAUUACUGGGCGUAAAGCGUGCGCAGGCGGCUUCUCAAGUCAGGGGUGAAAGCCCAGAGCUCAACUCUGGAACUGCCUUUGAGACUGAGAGGCUUGAGUACGGGAGAGGUGAGUGGAAUUCCCAGUGUAGAGGUGAAAUUCGUAGAUAUUGGGAAGAACACCGGUGGCGAAGGCGGCUCACUGGCCCGUAACUGACGCUCAUGCACGACAGCGUGGGGAUCAAACAGG
rnacentral:rRNA from 1 species